GGUGAGAACCCAGGAUAAAAGAAUGCAGGACAAAUGUGAAGGGAGCUGGGCAGCUGAGAGCUGAAGAAGCUGGGACAAGACAACAUGUGAGGCAUGAAGACCAGAGGGGAAAGUAGAUAUGAAGCUGAACUCCAUUCCCAUACCUUUUUGACAGAACUUUGUGCUAAAGGCAUUAGUGGUGGCACAGUGAGAGGAAUGAGGCUGAAUCUGUGGGACAGACGGACAGAAGACAGACAAGAGCUCAGCAGACUGUGCGUGUGGAUAGGAGCAGAUGUCCUGCCUACAGACAAAGGAGAAGCAGAUGGCAGCGCUAGGGACAAAGGCAGAGGAUUGGAGUGACGCACACAGGCCUUCCUCACUCACAUAUGUAGCACAUAUGUCUCUCUAUACACGCCUGUUACAUGUGUGUGUGUCGUCACAGCUCCUUAUAUUUACCUGCUACAGAAAUAAAGGGCAAGAAGUUAAA